rnacentral:rRNA from 1 species
GACGAACGCUGGCGGCGUGCUUAACACAUGCAAGUCGAACGGAAAGGCCCUGCUUUUGUGGGGUGCUCGAGUGGCGAACGGGUGAGUAACACGUGAGUAACCUGCCCUUGACUGUGGGAUAACUUCAGGAAACUGGGUCUAAUACCGGAUAGGAGCUCCUGCUGCAUGGUGGGGGUUGGAAAGUUUCGGCGGUUGGGGAUGGACUCGAGGCUUAGCAGCUUGUUGGUGGGGUAGUGGCUUACAAAGGCUUUGACGGGUAGCCGGCCUGAGAGGGUGACCGGCCACAUUGGGACUGAGGUAGGGCCCAGACUCCUACGGGAGGCAGCAGUGGGGAAUAUUCCACAAUGGGCGGAAGCAUGAUGCAGCAACGCCGCGUGCGGGAUGACGGCCUUAGGGUUGUAAACCGCUUUAGCCUGUGACGAAGCGUGAGUGACGGUAAUGGGUAAAGAAGCACCGGCUAACUACGUG